rnacentral:rRNA from 1 species
AUUGAACGCUGGCGGCAGGCUUAACACAUGCAAGUCGAGCGGUAACAGAGAGAAGCUUGCUUCUCUGCUGACGAGCGGCGGACGGGUGAGUAAUGCCUAGGAAUCUGCCUAGUAGUGGGGGAUAACAUGCCGAAAGGUAAGCUAAUACCGCAUACGUCCUACGGGAGAAAGGAGGGGACCUUCGGGCCUUUCGCUACUAGAUGAGCCUAGGUCGGAUUAGUUAGUUGGUGAGGUAAUGGCUCACCAAGACCGCGAUCCGUAACUGGUCUGAGAGGAUGAUCAGUCACACUGGAACUGAGACACGGUCCAGACUCCUACGGGAGGCAGCAGUGGGGAAUAUUGGACAAUGGGGGGAACCCUGAUCCAGCCAUGCCGCGUGUGUGAAGAAGGUCUUAGGAUUGUAAAGCACUUUAAGUUGGGAGGAAGAGCAGUUAACUAAUAUUUGACUGUUUUGACGUUACUGACAGAAUAAGCACCGGCUAACUUCGUGCCAGCCGCCGCCGUAA